AUGGUGACGUAACCAGAAAUGACGCGACGGGCUCGGGAAGUGGACAGUCCGCCUCAGACACAAGCUCACGUUGGAAGAAGCUGUAUACACUAUGGGACAAUGUUUAUGACACAGAAAGUACAGUUCUCAGUCAGAUAUAGCGUGGAAUAGCGUCACAAUAGAAAUAGGGUUGGAAAUAAGGUGACGGACCCGGAAGUGAGGUCAUGUUACUAUGGCAAUAGGUACAGGUCCAACAGCAAGAAUCAUGGAAAAUGUAGUUUAUUGCUAUAUUAUUAACAGCUGCAGUAGAAGGAUGGGGAUUGGAUAGAACUCCUUUUAAAAACCCAGGGGAUUUCUCCACACACACAGCGCGGAUCUCGUUGAAAAAGACCUCAGUUUUAGAGGUGGAAAAGCGUUGGAGGAAGCGGGGACAUUGAAAUUUGGCCGCCAGCGUGACAGUGACAAGGUGAAACCCAGCAAGCUGAUUCAGCAUUAAUAUAAGAUCUGUGGGAGCCCGGGACUUACAUUGCACAUGCUGUUAUUGAACUGCUUUGCCUUUUCUCUGCCUCUGGUAGAGGUGUGCAGGUUCGGAUUUACUCUGAUAUUUUGCCAAAUUUAUUUCAAGUUUGGAUAUAUCCAGAUUUAACUUAUUGGUUAUCCAAAACAAGUGAGAACUCGUACAUCCCUAGAUACAGGUUCCCUAUUGGAUUCUACAUGGACAAGUGGACGUGAAUGGUGGUGUGGGAUGUAGG